rnacentral:rRNA from 1 species
GACGAACCGUGCAAACGUUGUUCGGAUUCACUGGGCUUAAAGGGCGCGUAGGCGGGCGGUCGAGUCCGGGGUGAAAUCUUUCAGCUCAACUGGAAAAGUGCCUUGGAUACCGGCCGUCUCGAGGGAGGUAGGGGCAUGCGGAACUUCCGGUGGAGCGGUGAAAUGCGUAGAUAUCGGAAGGAACGCCGGUGGCGAAAGCGGCGACCUGGUCCUUGACUGACGCUGAGGCGCGAAAGCGUGGGGAGCAAACAGG